rnacentral:rRNA from 1 species
UACGUAGGCAGCAAGCGUUGUUCGGAAUUACUGGGCGUAAAGGGCUCGUAGGUGGCCGACUACGUCAGACGUGAAAUCCCUCGGCUUAACCGGGGAACUGCGUCUGAUACUGGACGGCUUGAGUUCGGGAGAGGGAUGCGGAAUUCCAGGUGUAGCGGUGAAAUGCGUAGAUAUCUGGAGGAACACCGGUGGCGAAGGCGGCAUCCUGGACCGACACUGACGCUGAUGAGCGAAAGCCAGGGGAGCAAACGGG